rnacentral:rRNA from 1 species
CAGAACGAACGCUGGCGGCAGGCCUAACACAUGCAAGUCGAACGGAUCCUUCGGGAUUAGUGGCAGACGGGUGAGUAACGCGUGGGAAGCUACCUUGUGGUAGGGAACAACAGUUGGAAACGACUGCUAAUACCCUAUGAGCCCUAUGGGGGAAAGAUUUAUCGCCAUGAGAUGUGCCCGCGUUAGAUUAGCUAGUUGGUAAGGUAAUGGCUUACCAAGGCGACGAUCUAUAGCUGGUCUGAGAGGAUGAUCAGCCACACUGGGACUGAGACACGGCCCAGACUCCUACGGGAGGCAGCAGUGGGGAAUAUUGGACAAUGGGGGCAACCCUGAUCCAGCCAUGCCGCGUGAGUGAUGACGGCCUUAGGGUUGUAAAGCUCUUUCAGCAGUGAAGAUAAUGACAUUAACUGCAGAAGAAGCCCCGGCUAACUUCGUGCCAGCAGCCGCGGUAAUACGAAGGGGGCUAGCGUUGUUCGGAAUCACUGGGCGUAAAGCGUACGUAGGCGGACUGAUCAGUCAGGGGUGAAAUCCCGGGGCUCAACCCCGGAACUGCCUUUGAUACUGUCAGUCUUGAGAUCGAGAGAGGUGAGUGGAACUCCGAGUGUAGAGGUGAAAUUCGUAGAUAUUCGGAAGAACACCAGUGGCGAAGGCGGCUCACUGGCUCGAUACUGACGCUGAG